GAAAGUGUCCCGGAAUGAACAGUGCCCAUCCUUGUAUUACAUGAUGUUACAUACAAUGGUACCCAAAGCAUACAGUCUGCUGCUGGACAUGAAGUGAAUUCUAUUCCACGUUGCCUGUUGAAGGAGACAACUUUGAAAUCUGUAGCAGGGAGACAGACUGUGGCAAACCUGGUUAGCCUGCUACUACCUGCCUUUUUUACUGAGCCAUUUAAGUUCCAAGCCCAAAGAAGAAAGCCAAUACUGACGUGCCCGCCCUCUUCUAAACCAUCCAUAAUGUCUGAACCACCUAUAACCAGCGACAGCGCUGCUGAGAGAGAGUGUAUAGAUAAACUAAAUGCAGUUACUGAGCCACCUAAGUUCUCUACCUGAAGAAGAAAGCCAAAACUGAUGUGCCCGCACUUUUGUAAACCAUCCAUAAUGGUAAAUAAAACCAUCCAUACUUACUGGGAAGAUUGAGACCUCUGUGACUUACACCUCCAGACGAACCUGAAAACACAACUGGCAUACCAGGUUCCUCCUCACAGCAGGGCACCCUAGAAGUGCAUUCUAGAAAAAGAAAAUAUCCUUUUUCAGAGGAGACUCCUGUAAUUAAAAAAUUAAAAACAAAUGAUUAAAAACAACUUUUACUCUACUAAUCAAAAAACAAAACAAAACAAAACUCCAAAACAACGGAUUUUCAAAUAAUUAUAAAAAGGAAACAUCUGAUUUUCAUUUAAUGAAAAACAAAAAAAAUAACUGAUUUUAAAUUAAUUAAAAAAUGAUA